rnacentral:rRNA from 1 species
CCUACGGGCGGCAGCAGUGAGGAAUAUUGCACAAUGGGGGAAACCCUGAUGCAGCGACGCCGCGUGAGGGAAGAAGUAUUUCGGUAUGUAAAGCUCUAUCAGCAGGAACGAGACAAGACGUUACCGGACUAAGAAGCCCCGGCUAACUACGUGCCAGCAGCCGCGGAACUACGGAGGGGGCAAGCGUUAUCCGGAAUCACUGGGUGUAAAGGGAGCGAUGGCGGUUUUUUAAGUCAGCGGUAAAAUCGUGGGGCUAAACCCCAUCCAGCCGUUGAAACUGGGGAUCUAGAGUGUGCGAGAGGUAUGCGGAAUGCGUGGUGUAGCGGUGAAAUGCAUAGAUAUCACGCAGAACCCCGAUUGCGAAGGCAGCAUACCGGUGCACAACUGACGCUCAGGCACGAAAGCGUGGGUAUCGAACAGGAUUAGAUACCCCAGUAGUC